rnacentral:lncRNA from 1 species
CAUACAUCGUAGACAAAAAAAUGUUUAAUUCAUUUCCAUCAACACUUGUCAUACAUCGUAGACAAGACAUUGUUAUUUCUUGCAUCAAAGACAAGAUAACUAUAAUUAAAGUAACUUUCCAACUUCCUCAAUUUAAAUAAACAAUAAAAUAACUAAACAGAAUUCAAGUAAAGUGUUGUGUUCACUGUUUGGAACAGGUGCGUAUAUACUAGGGUCAAGGUCACUGGCCAUCUCUGGUCUGGUGGUUAUGAUUUGUUUGUUUAAACAUAGAUAUUACAUUACGCCUCAUAGAGAAGUUAAGCUUAUUCAUUUCUUGAGACCUAAAGGCGAAAUAUGAAUAAGAAUCAACUGUACAUACAUUCUACGUAAUAUAACGGCACUAUUGAAUGUGCUUUACUUUUGCUGAAAAAAAUAACUAAAAAAGUAGACACGUAAAACAAUCUUAUCCUAAAGUAAAUGCUAAUAAAAUGACGUUUUUCUUUUGCAAGGAGAGUCUUUAAUAAGUCGAAACUGAUGAUAAGGUUUGCCAAACACUAGAUAAGCACUUUUGUAAAAAGAUUCUUUCAAUGAACAUAUCAAUCAUGAUUUGAUUUUUCAGACAAGAAGUCGUAAACGCAUUCGAACACAUAUAUCUGCAUUCGAGGUUGCUGACUAUUUUUGUAAAAAAAUAUAGAUGAACAAAUUUAGUAUUUCAAUUGUUCAUUACUAACUUACUUCAUUAAUAUUCAAUUAUUGACUCGUUUUGUUCUUAAUUUCAGGAGAAUUUUCAAACUUGUAGAAUAAUCUCACAACAUCAGAAGCAAAACUUUUGGCGAGUUUUUAAACAGGUAUAUUCGAAUGACUGUCAGAAAAAAGAAAAUCGUCGAAAUCAAGAUAAUCAAUUGUAGAUUUAUUCUUCCUAACAUAACGGCACUAUUGAAUGUCGUCUACUUUUGCUGAAAAAUUUACCUAAAAAAAAAGGCUCGUAAAACAGUCUUAUCCAAAAGCAAAUGCUAAUAAAGUGAUGUUUUUUUCCUUUUCAAGGAGAGGUUUUAAACAGUCGAAACUAGUUACAAGGUAUACACCAAAAUAAAUAAGCACUUUUAUGAAAAGAUGCUUUCAAUAAACAUAACAAUGGAAACUUCAUAUUUCAGACAAUUGGUCGUAAACGCAUGCGAACGUAUGUAAUAUCUGCAUUCGAGGUUACUGAUAAUUUUUUGGUAAAAAAAUAUAAAUGAACUUAUACAAAGUUAGUGUAUACUGUUUUCCAUUGUAUAAUGAUUACUAUCUGCAUUGAUAUUCAAUUAUUGACUUUUUUUUCUAUUAUUAAUUUCAGUAGAAUUUCCAAACUUAUGGAAUACCCUUACAACAUAAGAAUCAAAACUUUUGGCGACUUUUAUUGUUUGUUUUAUAGAGAUUAACAUAAUAACACAAUGUUCACUGCUGUGCCUCUAUUUUUAACAUUUUUACUUAUUAUGUCUGUUUGUUUUGUUAAAUUUUUUAUAAGACAAUCAUACAAGUGAGAGGUUUACCUAGCUUUAAAACCAGGUUUAAUCCACCAGUUUUUAUAAAAGAAAAUGCAUGUACUAAGUCAUGAUUAUGACAGUUGAUGUUGAUUGGUUUGAUAUGGUCAUUAUUUUCUAUUGUACUUUGAUUACUAUCUUCAUUAAUAUGCAAUCUUUCACUAUUUCCUAUUAUUAAUUUCAGGAGCAUUUCCAAACUUAUGGAAUGAUCUAACAACAUCAGGGUCAAAACAUUUGGAGACAUUUACAAAAGGUUUAUUCGAAUGACUGCUAGAAUAAACUAUACAUCAAUAUCAAGAUAAUCAACUGUACAUUUAUUCUACCUAAUAUAACGGCACUAUUGAAUGUAGUUCACUAUUGCUUAAAAAAAUAUGAAAAAAGUAGGCACGUAAAAUUGUCUUUCCUAUAAACAAUUCUGAAUAAAAUGACGUUUUCUUUUGCAAGGAGAGUCUAUAAAAAGUUGAAACUAGAGGAAAAGUAUGCACAAAAAUAUAUAAGCACGGUUAUAACAAAAUUAUUUCAAUGAACAUAACAAUGGUAGGGUCAUUUUUCAGACAAUUAGUCUUAAACGCAUUCGAAAACAUAUAUGUCUAUAUAACUUUUUGUCUAUAUGUCUGUUGUUUGUCUAUAUGCCUUUUUGUGUUUCUUUCUUAUAUAUAAUGUGGCUUUGUACUUAUACAUCCCAUCAUUGUAUUAUUGUGCAAUGGUAAAUGUUUGUUAAUAUAUUUGUUUGUUUUAUAGGGAUUAAGAUAAUAACACAAUGUUGACUGCUGUGCCUCUAUUUUUGACAUUUUUUACCUGUUUUGCCUGUUUGUUUUGUUCACAAAUAGUUGUCAAUAUAAUGGAUUUUAAUACGACAGUCAUACAAAGGAGAGGUUUAACAAGCUUUAAAAGCAAUUUAAUCAACCAUUUUUUAUAGAAAGAAAAUGCCUGUACCAAGUCAGGAAUAUGACAGUUGGUGUUCAUUGGUUUGGUAUGGUCACUAUUUUCUAUUGUACAUAAAUUACUAACUUCAUUAAUGUUCAAUUAUUGACUCUUUUUAUUAUUAAUUUUAGGAGGAUUUCCAAACUUGUGGAAUAAUCGCACAACAUCAGAAGAAAAAGUUUGGCGACUUUUAUAAACAGGUAAAUUCGAUUGACUGUUAGAAAAAAGCAAUAUAUCAAGAUCAAGAUUAUCAACUGUACAUGCAUUCUAUCUAAUAUAACGGCACUAUUAAAUGUGGUUUAAUUUUGCUGAAAACCAAAUAAAAAAGGUAUGCACGCAAAACGGUCUUAUCCAAAAGCAAUUACAAAUGAAUUGAUUUUUUUUUCUUCUACUGCAAGGAGAGUCUUUAAAAAGUCGAAACAAGUGACAAAGUAUAAUAAAAAAGAAUAAGUAAAGACUUUUAUCAAAAGACGCUUUCAACAAACAUCAUAAAAUUGAGAAUGGAAAUGGGGAAUGUGUCAAAGAGACAACAACCCGACUAAACAAAAAACAACAGCAGAGGGUCACCAACAGGUCUUCAAUGUAGCGAGAAAUUUCCGCACCCGGAGGCGUCCUUCAGCUGGCCCCUAAACAAAUAUAUACUAGUCCAGUGAUAAUGAACGCCAUACUAAUUUCCAAAUUGUACACAAGAAACUAAAAUUAAAAUAAUACAAGACUAACAAAGGCCAGAGGCUCCUGACUUGGGACAGGCGCAAAAAUGCGGCGGGGUUAAACAUGUUUGUGAGAUCUCAACCCUCCCCCUAUACCUCUAACCAAUGUAGAAAAGUAAAAUGGUAAGUUCAUAGUUCAGACAAUUAGUCGUAAACGCAUUCAAUCAAAUAUAUCUGAGUUCAAGAUUACUGAUUAUUUUUGUAAAAAAAUCUAAAUGAACUUAAACAAACUAAGUGUACACUUAUAAAGUGUUCUUUAUUCUUUUGUGUGCAUUGACGUCAAACAUUUGCUAUUUUGAAAUAAAAAAUACAUUUUGCAAAUUACUCUGCAAUUUUUUAAGUUCAUUGUUUGGAAAUAUGUAACAAUCAUCUUUUGACAUCAACUCAUAAAAAUCUUUUCUUGAAUGCGAUUUGAAAUUUGUAAUAUUCGUGAGAUUACACAUUUUGAUUUCAUGAGGAUAUUUAAAAAAAAAAUAAGUUUGUGUUAAAAUGAGUUAAUUUUUCAACAGUUUAUAUAAAUAAAACAUUUGUAUAUGCUUGUUUAAGAAAAAAAUAUAUUUUAAUUUCAUUGUAAAAAGUAUAUAUUAAAAUUGCUGACCUUAAGCAUUUUUUGAUUUGACUUUACAUAUUGAAAAUGAAAAAUGCUCCAACGUGGAGCAUUUUUCAAUUUGACAUCAAAUAUUGAAAAAUGAAAAAUGCUCCAAUAUGGAGCAUUUUAUAUUUUAUAUUUUGACAUUAUAAAUUGAAAAAAGAAAACUUAUUCCGAACAUGAGUAGUAUUUAUAUAUUAUAUAUAUGAUAACAUUGAGAAUAGAAAUAGGUAAUGCGCAAAAGAGACAGAGAAUAGACAGACAGCAAAUGUGCCAAACAGCCAAAGCAGCAACAAAAGAGACAGCAAUUCGACCAAAGUGCAGACAACAGCCAAAGGCCACCAAUGAAUCUUUAAUAAACCUCUAGUCAACAAACACACAUCAAUGCGCACAGUAAUGCUCAUUUCAAAAGAAGUCCGAGUUCGAUGUCAGAACAAGUAAUGUAGUAUAUGUAUUUGAUUUUAACGACAUCAAUCUCUGUAUUACUAAAAUAUAUUACACCAUGGUUUUCUGUAUCGCAAACUAGUCAUUACAUUCACUCAAUGGUAUCAACGGUACAAUGACACCAUUCGCUAGAAAAAAAUACAAAUCAACACACAGACAUGUUAUAUGUUCAGAUCUACACAUCAAAUCUUAUUCUGUAACGGUAAUAUUCUAUACAAAACACAAAUAUGUCGGCAUUCACCUCAAAACCUAACCAAACAGGCUUAUUCAAAAGGGAUACAGUUACGAUACUGUCCAUAAGAAUGGCAUAUUUUAGUAUGAAUAUUUAUUUACUCAAUGACAUAUGGUUUUUGCAUUGUAAAUAAACAAAUUUAUUAUAAAACAAGUUGUUGGCAUAAAACGGUUUAUGUUCUUUUCACAUAUUUUAUGAUGAUAUCAUACAAAAACCCCGAAUGAGAGAGAUUAUGCUAGAAAUUCAGUUGAUGAAGACAUUAUCUUUCAAUCAGAUUAAUUUAUGUCUGGAACGGGCAUUUCAGUAAUUGAUAGUAGUCCGUUGUUAAUGUAUGUAUGUAUCAUUGUCAUUUAGCUUAGUUUUGAAAUAUAUUAGGCCCGAAACCACAAUUAAUUCCUUUAUCAUUUCUUUAUAACGUUUUGUCGCAUUAAAAACAAAUCUAUUUUUUUUUGUUUUGUGUGUGUGUGUGUAAUGCACAGUACGUCAAAACAAAAAUAUCAAGUAUACAUCAUACACAUUUGGUAAAUACAUAUCCAUACCCCUUAGGCAAUUCAAGAGAUGUUCCGAAAAGUGUAAUUAUACCCUUUUUGUACCUGGCCUAAUCACUAUUUCCAUAUAAACAUCAGUUAAAAUGAAAAAUCCAAAAGUUUUAUUUAAGCUCUCUUCUAUCAUUUCCACCCCAGAAAAACUAAGAAAUCUGAGGAAGGGAAAGAAAAAAAUAAAGACAAAAUACACUAUUAUUAAAGGGAACUAUAUUCGUAGACAACGAAAAGCGGGAUCAUUAAUUGUGGUUUUGGGCCAAUAAGAUAUCUGACUCUGAGUUUUACUGUGCGUGAUUUCGUGUCUAUGUUUAUUCUUCAUUGUUUAGAGGUGUUAGAUGGUCUAACAAUACAUAUGUAUGUCCAAGUCAGGAGCCUCCGUCUUUUGUUAGUCUUGUUUAUGUGUUGUCAAUUGAAUUAAUUGUUUUCUAAAUAUUGGACUUGUGUGUAACUUCUAUUUUCAAUGCAUACGUACACAUGUUAAGGGGUCAGCUGCAUGAAGCCCGCCUUCGGUCGCAGAAAUUUCCCGCUGUGUUGAAGACCGAUUGGUGAUCUUGAGCUCUUUUUUGCCUUUUGAUCGGGUUGUUGCCUUUGUUACACGUUCCACAUUACCAUUCUUAAUGUUAUCAUACACAUUUAAGGAUAAUUGUCAUGUUCCAGACACGUGUAGGUAUUCAGUCGUGUGUUCUGCGGGUAAACUAAUUAAUAAAAAUUCACAUCUUUUUGGUCAUAAUUGUACCUUUUAGUAUAUUUCUCAUGUUCAAAAUUAGGUGAUACACACAUAGUGCACACGUAUACAUAAUUAACAAGUUCUUCAAGAUGUUUUAAAAUACUGUCGACAAUUUGAAUAUUUAAAACACAUAUAUUAAAACAAAUUUCAUUUCAUUCUAGAUCUACUCAUUAAAAAUUAAAAAAAUAUGCAGUUUUGAUCAUCCUUUUAAAUUUUUAUAUUGCGAAAUAAUUUCAAUUCAAAAUGAAACAUGCAUUUUUUCAUUUUUCAACAUUUUAAAGUCAAAUUACAAAAAUACUUAAUGUCAGCAAUUCCAAUUUUUCUUCUGAAAUGAACUUAUAUUAUUUUUCCUUUCUAAAACAAGCAUCUGCAAAUCAUUUGAUGUAUUCAAACUGUUGAAAUUUUAUCUUUUUUUAAUAUCCUCGUGAAAUCAAAAAAAAAAAAAUUCCAUAUAGAUAACAAAUUUUAAAUAUCAUUAAGAAAAUGAUUUUUCAAAAGUCACUUCAAAAGAGUUUUGCCUUAUGUUUAAAGUGUGAAGAGCAAUUUGCUAUAUUCAUUUUUUUCUGUUAAAAAUGCCAUUUUUUGGCGUAAAUAUACACGGUCUUCUGUUGUACAUUGAUUACCUAUAGUACUUCAUUUAUUUAUUAUUCAAUUAUUGACUAUUUUUUAUUAUUAAUUUCAGGAGAAUUUCUCAACUUGUGGAAUAAUCUUUAAACAGAAGAACAAAAACUUUCGGCGACUUUUACAAGGUUUGGACCUACUUAAAAAAAAAACUUCAAGCCGAACAAAACCCUGGAUUUUUUGUCAAGUAGAUAGCUACGAAGCUUCCCUUUUCAUCUAGUACGAACA